rnacentral:rRNA from 1 species
UACGAAGGCGGCAAGCGCUGUUCGGAUUUACUGGGCGUACAGGGAGCGUAGGCGGUUGGGUAAGCCCUCCGUGAAAUCUCCGGGGCCAACCCGGAAAGUGCGGAGGGGACUGCUCGGCUAGAGGAUGGGAGAGGAGCGCGGAAUUCCCGGUGUAGCGGUGAAAUGCGUAGAGAUCGGGAGGAAGGCCGGUGGCGAAGGCGGCGCUCUGGAACAUUUCUGACGCUGAGGCUCGAAAGCGUGGGGAGCAAACAGG